AGAUUGAACGCUGGCGGCGUGCCUAACACAUGCAAGUCGAGCGGUAACAGGUGUAGCAAUACAUGCUGACGAGCGGCGAACGGGUGAGUAAUGCUUUGGAAUCUUCCCAGUAGUGGGGAAUAACCAGUCGAAAGAUUGGCUAAUACCGCAUACGUCUGUAAAGGGAAAGCGGGGGCUCGUAAGACCUCGCGCUAUUGGAUGAGCCAAAGUCGGAUUAGCUAGUUGGUGGGGUAAUGGCCUACCAAGGCGACAAUCCGUAGCUGGUCUGAGAGGACGACCAGCCACACCGGAACUGAGACACGGUCCGGACUCCUACGGGAGGCAGCAGUGGGGAAUAUUGGACAAUGGGGGAAACCCUGAUCCAGCGACGCCGCGUGUGUGAAGAAGGCCUGCGGGUUGUAAAGCACUUUUAGUGGGGACAAAAAGCUACGGAUUAAUACUCUGUGGUCUUGAUUUAACCCAAGAAAAGCACCGGCUAACUCUGCGCCAGCAGCCGCGGUAA
rnacentral:rRNA from 1 species